rnacentral:misc_RNA from 1 species
GAUGAAGAACGUAGCGAAAUGCGAUAAGUAGUGUGAAUUGCAGAAUUCAGUGAAUCAUCGAAUCUUAGAACGCACAUUGCGCCCCUUGGUAUUCCAUGGGGCAUGCCUGUUCGAGCGUCAUUUGUACCUUCAAGCUUUGCUUGGUGUUGGGUGUUUGUCCUGAGGGACUCGCCUUAAAGUAAUUGGCAGCCAGUGUUUUGGUUUUGAAGCGCAGCACAAGUCGCGAUUCAAGGCUAUACGCCAGCUUCCACAAGCCUUUUUCACUUUUGACCUCGGAUCAGGUAGGGAUACCCGCUGAACUUAAGCAUAUCAAUAAGCGGAGGA